AUCAUGCCCCUUAUGACCUGGGCUACACACGUGCUACAAUGGAUGGAACAAAGGGCAGCGAAGCCGUGAGGCCAAGCAAAUCCCACAAAACCAUUCUCAGUUCGGAUUGCAGGCUGCAACUCGCCUGCAUGAAGCCGGAAUCGCUAGUAAUCGCGGAUCAGCAUGCCGCGGUGAAUACGUUCCCGGGUCUUGUACACACCGCCCGUCACACCACGAGAGUUGGUAACACCCGAAGUCGGUGAGGUAACCGUAAGGAGCCAGCCGCCGAAGGUGGGACCAAUGAUUGGGGUGAAGUCGUAACAAGGUAGCCGUAUCGGAAGGUGCGGCUGGAUCACCUCCUUUCUAAGGAAUAAGAUAAAGCGUAAGCGUUCGUUUAGCGACGAAUGAACUGGACGGAACUGAAGGAGAUGAAGGAAACACGAAGAGCCGAAAGGCGAAUUGAUGUUGACUUAUCGUACGGAGGUGAAGGAAGUUUCACUAGUCGCUGAACGCUGGAGCUGACUAUACGGAAGACAUAUUAGGUUGUUUGGUUCAGUUUUGAGAGAGUGAUUUAUCACUUUUACAUUCGAAGAUGGGCCUGUAGCUCAGCUGGUUAGAGCGCACGCCUGAUAAGCGUGAGGUCGGUGGUUCAAGUCCACUCAGGCCCACCAUCUGAUCAUAAAAAUUUACAUGGGGCCUUAGCUCAGCUGGGAGAGCGCCUGCCUUGCACGCAGGAGGUCAGCGGUUCGAUCCCGCUAGGCUCCAUUUUUGUACCUUGAAAACUAAAUAAGAGUAACAACGACAUCAAACCAAAAGCUGAAGCGAAUGCUUAGCGACAUACGGACUGGACUGAACCGUAGGAGAUAAAGGAAACACGAAGAGCCGAAAGGCGAAUCGAUGUCGACUUAUCGUACGAAGGGGAAGGAAGUCAGGCAAGUCGCUAUGAGCGGAAGCUAGAUUAACCAAAAGCAAUAAAGGCGAAAAAGCGUCUAGCUUAUUUCACAUAAAGCGAGUUAGUUAAGUGAAUAAGGGCGCACGGUGGAUGCCUUGGCACUAGGAGCCGAAGAAGGACGGGACUAACACCGAUAUGUCUCGGGGAGUCGUAAGUAGACGUUGAUCCGGGAAUUUCCGAAUGGGGGAACCCACUGUUCGUAAUGGAACAGUACCUCUAUCUGAAUACAUAGGGUAGAGGAGGCAGACCCGGGGAACUGAAACAUCUCAGUACCCGGAGGAAAGGAAAGCAAAUGCGAUUUCCCAAGUAGCGGCGAGCGAAACGGAACGAGCCCAAACCAGAAGGCUUGCCUUCUGGGGUUGUAGGACACUCCAUAGGAGUUACCAAGAAGUUCUUUAGAUGAAGCGAUCUGGAAAGAUCCGCCAAAGGAGGUAACAGCCCUGUAAUCAAAAAGGAACUUCCUCCGGAGUGGAUCCUGAGUACGGCGGAACACGAGAAAUUCCGUCGGAAUCCGGGAGGACCAUCUCCCAAGGCUAAAUACUCCCUAGUGACCGAUAGUGANUCUAGUGAGCUCAUAGGUGCCCGUACCGCAAACCGACACAGGUAGGCGAGGAGAGAAUCCUAAGGUGAGCGGGAGAACUCUCGUUAAGGAACUCGGCAAAAUGACCCCGUAACUUCGGGAGAAGGGGUGCUCCUUGUAGGAGGAGCCGCAGUGAAUAGGCCCAAGCGACUGUUUAGCAAAAACACAGGUCUCUGCGAAGCCGAAAGGCGAAGUAUAGGGGCUGACACCUGCCCGGUGCUGGAAGGUAAAGGGGAAGCGUUAGUACUUCGGUACGAAGCGUAGAACUGAAGCCCCAGUGAACGGCGGCCGUAACUAUAACGGUCCUAAGGUAGCGAAAUUCCUUGUCGGGUAAGUUCCGACCCGCACGAAAGGUGCAACGACUUGGGCACUGUCUCAACGAGAGACCCGGUGAAAUUAUACGAUGCGUGAAGAUGCGCAUUACCCGCGACAGGACGGAAAGACCCCGUGGAGCUUUACUGUAGCCUGAUAUUGAAUGUUUGUACAGCUUGUACAGGAUAGGUGGGAGCCAUCGAAGCGUGAGCGCCAGCUUACGUGGAGGCACCCGUGGGAUACCACCCUGGCUGUAUGAACCUUCUAACCCAGGGCCGUGAUCCGGUCCGGAGACAGUGUCAGGCGGGCAGUUUGACUGGGGCGGUCGCCUCCCAAAAGGUAACGGAGGCGCCCAAAGGUUCCCUCAGAAUGGUUGGAAAUCAUUCGCAGAGUGUAAAGGCAGAAGGGAGCUUGACUGCGAGACCUACAAGUCGAGCAGGGACGAAAGUCGGGCUUAGUGAUCCGGUGGUUCCGCAUGGAAGGGCCAUCGCUCAACGGAUAAAAGCUACCCCGGGGAUAACAGGCUUAUCUCCCCCAAGAGUUCACAUCGACGGGGAGGUUUGGCACCUCGAUGUCGGCUCAUCGCAUCCUGGGGCUGUAGUCGGUCCCAAGGGUUGGGCUGUUCGCCCAUUAAAGCGGUACGCGAGCUGGGUUCAGAACGUCGUGAGACAGUUCGGUCCCUAUCCGUCGUGGGCGUUGGAGGUUUGAGAGGAGCUGUCCUUAGUACGAGAGGACCGGGAUGGACACACCGCUGGUGUACCAGUUGUUCCGCCAGGAGCACAGCUGGGUAGCUACGUGUGGCAGGGAUAAGUGCUGAAAGCAUCUAAGCAUGAAGCCCCCCUCAAGAUGAGACCUCCCAUCACGUCAAGUGAGUAAGAUCCCUCAAAGAUGAUGAGGUAGAUAGGUUCGAGGUAGAAGCGUGGUGACACGUGAAGCUGACGAAUACUAAUCGAUCGAGGACUUAACU
rnacentral:rRNA from 1 species